CAGGAGACAGAAGCAGGAGAAUCAGGUGUUCAAGGUCAACCUCAGCUACAUAGAGAUUUUGAGACCAGCCUGGGCUGUGUGAGACCCUAUCUCACAAAACUAAAAAUGCAAAUCUGAAAUAGCUUCAAUAAGAGAACUUGUUUUUGUGUGUUAUUUUGUGUAGAUUUUAAAUAUAGUCAGGAUAAUCUUAAUUGCCUAACCAAAGUAACUUUAAGAGUUGUGUUUGCUUUAAUACUCAUCUCGAGAACUCAAGCUAAUUCGCAUGUUCUAGUGCUGUAAUAAAAUAAUCUAUGAUCAUGAUUUUUUUCUUACUAAUCAUUAGGAUUUUUUUUGAAUGAAAUUAAAUCUUAUUUUUCUUUUGCUCUGGCUAAAGUAUUAAAUUUAAAAGGUAUUAAGACCACAUAAUUUUUUGUUACACCAGGAAUUCUCAGCCUCUUUAGAAACAUCCCUGAAUUAAAAAAAAAAAAAAAUCCAUGAAUUCCUGGCAAACUCCUGAAUAGAUCAAUGUACUUACCAGGAAAAUAGAAUCUAGGGCCCCCUUUAAUUUAUGGGUGAAUGACCUUAAAGGAUUAGGUAGAAAGGAGGGUGCAAUCAAAUUAACAUUUUUGGCAAAUAUGUGCUAUGGGUCCCAUCCCGCCUUAUCCCCCAUCUUCUUUCCUGGGCUUAGCAGACACAGCAGAAGACAAAGCGAAUGGGGACCCCCCUCCUGCUUGGGGCAGGUGAGCCAUCUGAAAUGAGUACCCUCGGGCACUCAAGCAGAAGCCUAGGCUGGAGUUACACCAGUGAAUUGAGAACUAGAGAUUUAAGCACUGAGCCGGCUGUGGACAGGGUUUAAUUGGCUCAUCGCUUGGCAAAGGUUGAGAAUCCCUGGUUGAGACUAAUUAAGUAGAAAGAGAUUUAAAGUCUUACGUAAUGUUAAACCCUUUCCUGCCUAGGAAGAAAACGCUGCCCCUGUGCUAGAUAGACAGCGGUUCAGAAGAUCCAGUUUAAACUGAGGCACCAAGGGCUCUAGAACCUUAGUAUCUGCCCAUAGACCAAGCAACGCUUCCUUCUCACUCCUGACAGUUCCGUUAAUAGUCCCAGCUGGCUUCCUCACCAUAUAUAAGGGGUGAAGAAGACACGGCCACCACUCUAGCCCUGCCAUGCAUUCAGCCAGAGAAGAAAUGUGUCACCUUAACCAGAUUUAUCUGUUCUCUGUAAUUGUAGGAUUUAAGUUAGUUUUUAAUGAAGUGUUACUUCUAUGAGAUUUUAGGCAAAAGCCCAAUGUAUAGCAAAAAAUAUGUAAAUAAUCCAGCCUCUCCUCUCCUGUCCUGUAGCAUACUUUUGGUCAGAUAACUAAUAAAACAUAGAUAUUUUCAAAAUUGUCACAGUUCUUUAUGCCUGCAAGUUGUAUUUCUUAGACGUUUUAGAAGGCAUGCUGUUUUUACUUAAUGC
ensembl:lncRNA